UAACAGAAAGCAGCUUGCUGCUUUGCUGACGAGUGGCGGACGGGUGAGUAAUGUCUGGGAAACUGCCUGAUGGAGGGGGAUAACUACUGGAAACGGUAGCUAAUACCGCAUAAUGUCGCAAGACCAAAGAGGGGGACCUUCGGGCCUCUUGCCAUCGGAUGUGCCCAGAUGGGAUUAGCUAGUAGGUGGGGUAACGGCUCACCUAGGCGACGAUCCCUAGCUGGUCUGAGAGGAUGACCAGCCACACUGGAACUGAGACACGGUCCAGACUCCUACGGGAGGCAGCAGUGGGGAAUAUUGCACAAUGGGCGCAAGCCUGAUGCAGCCAUGCCGCGUGUAUGAAGAAGGCCUUCGGGUUGUAAAGUACUUUCAGCGGGGAGGAAGGGAGUAAAGUUAAUACCUUUGCUCAUUGACGUUACCCGCAGAAGAAGCACCGGCUAACUCCGUGCCAGCAGCCGCGGUAAUACGGAGGGUGCAAGCGUUAAUCGGAAUUACUGGGCGUAAAGCGCACGCAGGCGGUUUGUUAAGUCAGAUGUGAAAUCCCCGGGCUCAACCUGGGAACUGCAUCUGAUACUGGCAAGCUUGAGUCUCGUAGAGGGGGGUAGAAUUCCAGGUGUAGCGGUGAAAUGCGUAGAGAUCUGGAGGAAUACCGGUGGCGAAGGCGGCCCCCUGGACGAAGACUGAC
rnacentral:rRNA from 1 species